rnacentral:hammerhead_ribozyme from 1 species
GCCGAAACGCUCUUAGGAGCGUCAGCCGCGGGAUGGUCUCCCGGCUCUGAUGAUGGCAGACCAG